rnacentral:rRNA from 1 species
GUGCCAGCGCCGCGGUAAUACGGAGGGUGCAAGCGUUAAUCGGAAUUACUGGGCGUAAAGCGCACGCAGGCGGUUUGUUAAGUCAGAUGUGAAAUCCCCGGGCUCAACCUGGGAACUGCAUCUGAUACUGGCAAGCUUGAGUCUCGUAGAGGGGGGUAGAAUUCCAGGUGUAGCGGUGAAAUGCGUAGAGAUCUGGAGGAAUACCGGUGGCGAAGGCGGCCCCCUGGACGAAGACUGACGCUCAGGUGCGAAAGCGUGGGGAGCAAACAGGAUUAGAAACCCCAGUAGUCC